rnacentral:rRNA from 1 species
AUUGAACGCUGGCGGCAGGCCUAACACCUGCAAGUCGAGCGGAGCGGCGGACGGGUGAGUAAUGGCUAGGAAUCUGCCUGGUAGUGGGGGAUAACGUACGGAAACGGGCGCUAAUACCGCAUACUAUCAGAUGAGCCUAGGUCGGAUUAGCUAGCUGGUGGGGUAAAGUCCUAACAAGGCGACGAUCCGUAACUGGUCGGAGAGGAUGAUCAGCCACACUGGAACUGAGACACGGUCCAGACUCCUACGGGAGGCAGCAGUGGGGAAUAUUGGACAAUGGGCGAAAGCUUGAUCAAGCCAUGCCGCGUGUUUGAAGAAGUUCUUCGGAUUGUAAAGCACUUUCAGUUGGGAGGCGGUACCAACAGAAUAAGCACCGGCUAACUUCGUGCCAGCCGCCGCGGUAAUUC